UACGUAGGGUGCGAGCGUUAAUCGGAAUUACUGGGCGUAAAGCGUGCGCAGGCGGUUGGGCGUGUCCUGGGUGAAAGCCCCGGGCUUAACCUGGGAAUGGCAUGGGAAACUGGCUGGCUGGAGUGUGGCAGAGGGGGGUGGAAUUCCGCGUGUAGCAGUGAAAUGCGUAGAGAUGCGGAGGAACACCGAUGGCGAAGGCAGCCCCCUGGGCUGACACUGACGCUCAGGCACGAAAGCGUGGGGAGCAAACAGG
rnacentral:rRNA from 1 species